ACGGGGUGCAGCAGGCGCGAAAACUUCACACUGCAGGAAACUGUGAUGAGGGAACUCCUAGUGCAUGCACUAUGUGUAUGUAGAUACUACUCUUAACAAGUAGAGGGAAAGGGCUGGGAAAGACCGGUGCCAGCCGCCGCGGUAAUACCGGCAGCUCAAGUGGUCGUCGCUUUUAUUGGGCCUAAAACGUCCGUAGCCUGUUUGGUAAAUCUGUGGGUAAAUCAACCUGCUCAACGGGUUGAAUUCUGCAGAGACUGCCAGACUAGGGACCGGGAGAGGUGUGGGGUACUCGAGGGGUAGGGGUAAAAUCCUGUCAUCCUUCGAGGACCACCAGUUGCGAAGGCGCCACACUGGAACGGAUCCGACGGUCAGGGACGAAGCCUAGGGGCACGAACCGGAUUAGAUACCCGGGUAGUCCUAGGUGUAAACGCUGUGAACUUGGUGUCGGGGGUCCGCAAGGGGUCCCCGGUGCCGGAGUGAAGAUGUUAAGUUCACUGCCUGGGGAGUACGGUCGCAAGGCUGAAACUUAA
rnacentral:rRNA from 1 species